CUACCAGAUCCUGUCUCAGAAGAAACCAGAACUGCUGGAGAUGCUGCUCAUCACCAACAACCCCUAUGACUAUUCCUUCAUCUCCCAGGGAGAGACACAAGUGGCUUCUAUUGAUGACCGUGACGAGCUGAUGGCCACUGAUGAAGCGUUUGAUGUGUUGGGCUUCACCCAAGAGGAGAAG